rnacentral:rRNA from 1 species
ACAUGCAAGUCGAACGAAGUAGCAAUACUUAGUGGCAGACGGGUGAGUAACAUGUGGGUAUCUGCCCUUUGGCCUGGAAUAACACGAGGAAACUUGUGCUAAUACCGGAUAAGUCCUUACGGAGAAAGCUUUAUGCACCAUUGGAUGAGCCCGCACUUGAUUAGUUAGUUGGUAGGGUAAUGGCCUACCAAGACUGUGAUCAAUAGCUGAUUCGAGAGGAUGAUCAGCCACAGUUGGGACUGAGACACCGGACCCAAACUCC